rnacentral:rRNA from 1 species
GGACGAACGCUGGCGGCGUGCUUAACACAUGCAAGUCGAACGGAAAGGCCUCUUUCGGGGGGUACUCGAGUGGCGAACGGGUGAGUAACACGUGAGUAACCUGCCCUUGACUUUGGGAUAACCUCAGGAAACUGGGGCUAAUACCGGAUAGGAGCUCCUGCUGCAUGGUGGGGGUUGGAAAGUUUCGGCGGUUGGGGAUGGACUCGCGGCUUAUCAGCUUGUUGGUGGGGUAGUGGCUUACCAAGGCUUUGACGGGUAGCCGGCCUGAGAGGGUGACCGGCCACAUUGGGACUGAGAUACGGCCCAGACUCCUACGGGAGGCAGCAGUGGGGAAUAUUGCACAAUGGGUGGAAGCCUGAUGCAGCAACGCCGUGUGCGGGAUGACGGCCUUCGGGUUGUAAACCGCUUUCGCUCAUGACGAAGCUUUGUGUGACGGUAGUGGGUAAAGAAGCACCGGCUAACUACGUG